ACUACAAGCGUCCCCCAGCAAAGCUGCACCGCCAUUUCCUGUGCUUGGGAACUGAAGGCAAGCUACCGCAUAGCAACAUGGUAGAGACUGUGACGUUUUGCUCGGCAUCAGGUGAAGGCAUUCGGGAGUAAGUUUCACAACAGAAGACAGGCUCAGAAGCAGAUCAUCCGAGUCGGGGGAGAGAGGCGGCGACUAGUCAGGCUCCCUCGAAUCCCAGGCUGUGAUUAUUAUCUGCAGCCUGUGUCACCCAGGAUGAAAGGGGAUGGAAAAGCCGUGCAUACCCUUGGUGACAAAGCCACUCCUGCUCUUAAAGGCUGGAGCAGGACAUCUGACACAAUCCCAGGUCUCCAUGGAGGCAGGGGCAUGGCCGGCAGCUGUAGACCACAGCCUCCGGGCUCUGGCGUGGAGGAAGAAAAGGAAACCAGCACAGAAUUUUUUUUUUUUUGAGACGGAGUCUGGCUCUGUCCCCAGGCUGGGGUGCAGUGGUGUGAUCUUGGCUCACUGCAACCUCUGCCUCCAGGAUUCAAGUGAUUCUCCUACAUCAGCCUCCUGAGUAGCUGGGAUUACAGGUGCUGGCCACCACGCCAGGGUAAUUUUUGUAUUUUUAGUAGAGGCGGGGUUUCACCAUGUUGGCCAAGCUGGUCUUGAACUCCUGACCUCAUGAUCAGCUCGCCUCAGCCUCCCAAAGUCUUGGGAUUGCAGGCGUGACCCAUCGCACCCGGCCAGCACAGAAUAUUUUUAAUUGAAAAAGGAGGGGGCUGCUUUGUGAAUUUUUUUUUUUUUUUUUGAGAUAGAGUCUUGCUCUGUCCCCAGGCUGGAGUGCAGUGGUGCGAUCUUGGCUCACUGCAACCUCUGCCUCCAGGAUUCAAGCGAUUCUCCUACAUCAGCCUCCUGAGUAGCUGGGAUUACAGGUGCUGGCCACCAUGCAGGCUAAUUUUUGUAUUUUUAGUAGAGGCGGGGUUUCCCCAUGUUGGCCAGGCUGGUUUCCUGACCUCAGGUGAUCCUCCCUCCUCGGCCUCCCAAAGUGCUGGGAUUACAGGUGUGAGCCACUGUGCCCAGCCCAACUUUGUGAAAAUUCUAAAGGAUCAAGAGCAGACUGGGAAAGUGGGACCUUGGUCUUUAAGGCUCAGCUUAGGGAGGUGACAGCUGUGUGCAGCCGUGUCCAGGAAGUGGUCCACGGUCAAGGGAGAACUCUGUAAUCUGAGUGUGGAGAAAGGUAUUGCACAGUCCCCAGACACCCCUAAACAUUUCUUCAGAGCCAUCUGAGAACCGGCCCUAUCUGGGUCAUUGCCAUAGACAGAGGACACAGCUUGGGGUGCAGAGGACCCAGCCUGGCCCUGAGGCUGAACCAUCUGAAUAGAUCCUGAACACUUGUGGAGACGGAGCUCUGCUGCCCCGAAACCCCGGGAUGGACACAGGAAGACGAGCCCGUGCUUUGUACACCAAAGAAAAUGACUGAGGAGUCUCAAUCUAUCGAGAGGUUUAUUUUGCCUGGGUUGAGGACGUGCCCAGGGGAAAGUGUCGGCAAACCAGAUCCGCAACUUCAGGAGAAGGAUGGGCUCCGCGGGCUAGGCGGGUCCGAAGGAGCACAGUAGGACCUGCGGCCUGCACGAUUUCCAAAGAGGGUUUGAGAACUUCCGUAUUCAAAGAGGAAAGAGCAGACAGUAGGGAAAAAUGGAAAGAAAAAAACGGGAGGGUGGAUAAAAGAGGCCAGCGGUUGCAUUCUUUUGAGGCGUUGAUGAGCCUUCCCUGAAUCCCCGUUUUACAUGGGAAAGGUGGAAGAGGAACAGUAAACUGUGCAUUCAUCCUGUGCUCAGUGAACCUGCAUCUUUAUGGAAGAACAGUAGAGGAGGGAGUCAAAGAUGCGUUUGUCUCCCGUGAGCGGAGGGAAGACUUCUAGUCCUGUCUUUGUCCCAUACCUGUGCAGAUAAGCUGUUAAUUUACAUUUUCAGGGUGAAAUUCAGCAGAACUCUGUUUUAGGACAAAGUUCUUGGA
rnacentral:lncRNA from 1 species